GAGGGUAUAGCUCAGUGGUAGAGCAUAUGCUUAACACGCACAAGGUCCCGGGUUCAAUCCCCAGUACUGCCA
rnacentral:tRNA from 1 species